GUCCACGCCGUAAACGGUGGGUGCUAGUUGUGGGUUCCAUUCCACGGAAUCUGUGACGAAGUUAACACAUUAAGCACCCCGCCUGGGGAGUACGGUCGCAAGACUAAAACUCAAAGGAAUUGACGGGGCCCGCACAAGCGGCGGAGCAUGCGGAUUAAUUCGAUGGUAAACGGGGAACCUUACCUGGGCUCAACUACUAGCUGCAAGCCGCCAGAAAUGGCAGCCGCCUUCGAGGGUGCUAGAUAGGUGCUGCAUGGUUGCCGU
rnacentral:rRNA from 1 species